GAAAAUACGUUGAAAAGAAGAGUAGCCAUAGUCCUUUUUCAGAGAGCUUCUGGUUGGUGCAAAGAAGUAGAGACCUAUGUGUGAAACACAUCUUGGAGUAGAUUUUCUGAAAUGAGGAAGUAGGAAGAUUCGGGUGGCCCGUUAUAGCCAGAGUCAAGUAGACUUAUUGAGACAAUUACUGCGAGGUAGUUGUGAAAAAAGGUGGAACCACGUCAACACGUCCUUUGG
rnacentral:ncRNA from 1 species